rnacentral:misc_RNA from 1 species
GUCCAACUCACGAUCCAAAAUCGUCAAGCCAAGGUCGAUGUCGUUCCCUCCGCAUCCUCUCUUGUCAUCAAGGCUCUCAAGGAGCCCCCACGCGAUCGCAAAAAGGAAAAGAACAUCAAGCAUUCCGGCAAUAUCACUUUCGAUGAGGUGCUUGACAUUGCACGCACUAUGCGGUCAAAAUCUCUCGCCAAGACGCUCGCGAACGGUGCGAAGGAGAUCCUCG